GUCGUGGCAGUCAGGAGACAGGGAAUGGGGGGGGUUGGAUGGGGAGAGUCCUGGGGUGGGGGGCCAGGCUGUUUGGGGAGGCACAGCCUUCCCUACCAGGACCUCCAUACAGUUGUGCAACCCUGCUGUGGCCCUUGGACCAAAA